UACGUAGGGGGCAAGCGUUGUCCGGAUUUAUUGGGCGUAAAGAGCGUGUAGGCGGCUUGACAGGUCUGCUGUGAAAACUCGAGGCUCAACCUCGAGAUGUCGGCGGAAACCGUCUGGCUAGAGUCCGGAAGAGGAGAGUGGAAUUCCCGGUGUAGCGGUGAAAUGCGCAGAUAUCGGGAGGAACACCAAUUGCGAAGGCAGCUCGCUGGGACGUCACUGGCGCUGAGACGCGAAAGCGUGGGGAGCAAACAGG
rnacentral:rRNA from 1 species